CCUACGGGAGGCAGCAGUAGGGAAUCUUCCACAAUGGGCGAAAGCCUGAUGGAGCAACGCCGCGUGGGUGAAGAAGGUCUUCGGAUCGUAAAACCCUGUUGUUAGAGAAGAAAGUGCGUGAGAGUAACUGUUCACGUUUCGACGGUAUCUAACCAGAAAGCCACGGCUCACUACGUGCAAGCAGCCGCGGUCAUACGUAGGUGGCAAGCGUUAUCCGGAUUUAUUGGGCGUAAAGGGAACGCAGGCGGUCUUUUAAGUCUGAUGUGAAAGCCUUCGGCUUAACCGGAGUAGUGCAUUGGAAACUGGGAGACUGGAGUGCAGAAGAGGAGAGUGGAACUGCAUGUGUAGCGGUGAAAUGCGUAGAUAUAUGGAAGAACACCAGUGGCGAAAGCGGCUCUCUGGUCUGUAACUGACGCUGAGGUUCGAAAGCGUGGGUAGCAAACAGGAUUAGAUACCCCGGUAGUC
rnacentral:rRNA from 1 species